CUUCUUCAGCCACCCAGGAUUCAUUGUUGUUGUGGGCAAGUGUUGUGUGCAGGUGUGUUUUCGCGGACUGAACGUCUAGUGUUUCUCCAGAGGAGAAAAAAAGGCCAUUCUUUAUACAAAAUGAAAGCCUCUAUCACUACGAGAAGGAAGCCAUAGUUAACUGUCACGUGAUUGGAAAGCCAAAAACUGGAAGAAUCCUGCAGCAUCUUGGGUAAUGUGGUUCUUACGCCAUGUAUCGGAAAAUUCUACCUCAGUGUUUCUUACGGAUAAACUUCGUUAAAAUGUGUGUGUAAUUGAAGUCAAAAGUAGCAAUAUUAACAAAAAA